UGUUGAGGAUUGUUGGAAAGAAUUGAUCGCGGGUUUAUAAGUAAGGAAUACACCUCCAUUGGUAUGAAGUUUUUUUUGCAGAAGUCCAAAGUUAAGCCAUAAGAGCUUAGGUUCAAAAUGGUCAAUAUCAUACUAUUAUGGAGGGUCGUGAUUCCUAAUCAAUUAUUGGAGGGAU